CUUUUUACAAGAAAGUCAGGGAAAUAAAUAGGUCCAGGGUUAUCGCAGUCUUGUGCUUGCUGCUUGUUUUUUAUUGUUUUUUUGCCUUAAUACGGUAUUUCCUUCGUGGUACCGUGUCAUUGCAGCUGCAAUAAUAAUUAAAACCGGCAUGUGAUAAUGAUUAAAAACGAAAUCAUUGACCAGGGACCUCAUACACUCUCACCCACACACACCCAGUAACUCAUCAGCUGUCACCUCCGAGUAGUGCUGCCUUUUCUUUCCUGGAGUUGAAGUAUAGAUGGCCUCUUGGAUGACCAAUCAGUUCAAAUCAGGAUUUCAUUUCCGGUGUAAUUUCCUGGAUGGGAUGAAAUGGAACCAAUUCUCUAGCUCAACCCACUGCACGGUCUUGUACACAUGGCCCACAAUUUCUUGCUCAGUGUAACAGUCUAAGGACCUGUCCUCAGGCAAAGAGAAGCAGGAAGCAGCAAAUGCAUCGAUUAGAGGUCAAGAUAUGUGUCCAGCAGCAAUUGCCUCUGAAACACUUCUGAUUUUGUACUGAAGAAUUAUUGCAAUAAUAUUGUAAGCAUAUAUGAACCAUUUUAAUUCAUUGAAUGUGCGUGUCCAGUUUAUUUCUAUCUGGGGAUUAAUCAUUGCUGAUUAAAAUCCCUAUUUGCAAAGACAAAUAAGAUUUCCUCUGCUUAAAGGGAAUCUGAAUAUGUUAUAUGUUUCUCUGUACUUUAUAUUCUGAAACAGCUCCAAAACAAUAUUUCACCAAGUGGAAAGAGUUGGGUUUAUAUAUGAUCUUAUUUGCAUGCACAGUAUGCCCUGCCUGGUAAGAAUAUAUUUGACUUUCUUGUUUCCUUUGCUAAUAUGUUUUACUUGCAUGAUAUUAGAAAUGAUGGCUCAAAAAAAAUUGGGUUUUUUGUAUUGCAGUCUUCACUGUGGACAUCCUGAGAAAUACAUUUCUGAAAUUUCUUUUCAUUCUUCAAAAAUUGGGGGUUUUUUUAUGUCAGCAUGUCUAGAAGAGUCAUGUAACUACCACUGAAUAGCACAGUCGGGGAAACUAUAUUCUCCAGAUGCAAUAAAAGUUGCUGUAUUUUAUUUCCUAUUUUCUGUGAAGGAAAUGACUUUUAAAAGCCUCCUAUGAUUUUGCAAGAAAUAAAAAAGAGAAGAUAAAUUAGUUCCUGCAAAUUGUACAUUUCCACUGCAUUCAUUUUAAUGGAAGUGUGCCAGUUUCAAAAGAAGUGAAAGAGGGUUUUUUAACUGUCGCGUCCCCUUUAAUUAGCUGUAAUCAGAUAUUUUGUAGCACACUGAAUUUGUACGCAUGGAUGCUCAAUAAAAUUCUUAUUACUGUC